AUAUUUUUUGCACAAUCGGGUUUUGGCAGCAGAGGUAGGAGGGCCAUCUGGAACACCAGGCGGAAACUUGGGAUUUCUUGCCGGACGAGCAGGGACUGCAUCACCCACGUUCAACAUCUGCGAAGCAGAUUUAAUGCCGCCAGGAACAAAAUGUGCAAAAUGGCAUCCCUCGCCAAAGGGGCAACCAGCAGUGCUGAAAAACUUGUUGCAUGGCUUCAGUUUGCUUCCUAUACCAGUCUCCGAUUCUUUGACUCGCUUCGAAGCCGCGCCGUUGCUGGCGGCGGCGGCGGCAUCGGACCUCCCCCUCUUGCGAGCAUCCAUAGCUGUGGCG
rnacentral:misc_RNA from 1 species